AAAGUACUUUGAAAAGAGAGUUCAAUAGCACGUGAAACUGUACAUUGAAAAGCGGAUGAGAGCACAUGCACUGACUUUAGUAAUUCACCUGCAUUUUUUCUUAAAUAUGCAACAUAAAUUAACACAUGUGUUGUGUAUAAAUGCGAGAAGAUAUGCAGCGCAUUCUACUUAGUCACAAGCUGUUCGAAUCCAGCAAGACGCUUGUCACAUGAAUCGCACGUUAAUUCAAUUCAUUUGAAUUUUCUAGGGUUUAUGUACACAUGGCGUGUUGACGGAUUUUGUAUUAACAUGUUUGACACGUAUUCAUUUCAAAAUGAUGGCUGUUUGGUUUAUUUAGCUAAUUUAAACGAAUUGGCUUAAAUAUUCUCAGCAGUCAUUUACAUUUCUACUGUCAUUCUAUGAAAGAACAGUAAAUGUGUGCGGUAUCAUCCGAACCGUCUUGAAACACGGGCUAAGGAGUUCAACCUGUACGCAAGUUUUCUUGUUUACAGAUGAAACUAGAAAGCGUAGUGAAAGCGAACUUGUAAAGUGUGCGUGCAAACUUAUCAUUACAAAAAAAUGAUAGGAUGAGCACUGGUGAUGGGUGGUACGCAAAUUUUUUGAGCUACCGUCUGCAACUGAGCGUACAAGUUGAGACCCGAAAGAUGGUGAACUAUGCCUGAGCAGGAUGAAGCCAGAGGAAACUCUGGUGGAGGUCCGUAGCGCUUUUGACGUGCAAAUCAAUCGUCUAACUUGGGUAUAGGGGCGAAAGACUAAUCGAACCAUCUAGUAGCUGGUUCCCUUCGAAGUUUCUCUCAGGAAAGCUGGCAUUGUAAUAAAGCAGUUUUAUCCGGUAAAGCGAAUGAUUAGAGGCAUUGGGGAUGAAUCGUCCUCGACCUAUUCUCAAACUUUAAAUGGGUAAGAUGUCUUAUGCUUCUUAAUUGAGCUAAGACUUUUUGAAUGUAGCAAUGCCUAGUGGGCCAAUUUUGGUAAGCAGAACUGGCGAUGUGGGAUGAACCAAACGUUCAGAUAAGGUGCCUAAGACAUGUCUCAUCAGAUACCAUGAAAGGUGUUAGUUGAUAUUGACAGCAGGACGGUGGCCAUGGAAGUUGGAAUCCGCUAAGGAGUGUGUAAUAACUCACCUGCCGAAUCAACUAGCCCUGAAAAUGGAUGGCGCUAGAGACAUGCACCUAGACUGAACCGUUAUGACCAAUUCAAUUUUUAUAUUGAAAACAUGGUCUAACGUGUAGAAGGGCGUCUGUGCUGGCGUUGAAAUCUUUAGCGUAAGCUUGGAUGAAGCCGGUACAAGUGCAGAUCUUAGUGGUAGUAGCAAGUAUUCAAAUGAGAACUUUGAAGACUGAAGUGGAGAAGGGUUCCAUGUGAACAUUAUUUGGACGUGGCUCAGCCGAACCUAAGAGAACGGAUAAUUCCGUGAUCAAGCGGACAGCAUUUUUGCUGCUCCAAUCGAAAGGGAAUCGGGUUAAUAUUCCCGGGCCAGGAUACGGAUUUUGAUUAUUAUACAAAUACUUUAUUGUAUUCUGUGUAGUAAUCGACAGCGGUAACGCGAACAAACCCAGAGAUUGACUGUACGAAGCCCGGGGAAGAGUUUUCUCUUCUUUGUUAGGAAUAUUAUCCCUGGAAUCAGAUUGUCUGGAGAUAGGGUAACUAUUCCGUAAUGCAACGCGGUUCCUGCGAUGUACCGUGCGCUUUGGGCAGUGCUUGAAAAUCUGGGGGCGAUGUUGUGUUUUUCGUACCUGUUCGUACCCAUUUCCGCAGCAGGUCUCCAAGGUGAAUAGCCUCUAGUCUAUAGGACAAAGUAGACAAGGGAAGUCGGCAAAUUAGAUCCGUAACUUUGGGAAAAGGAUUGGCUCUAAAGGCUGAGUUGGUCGGGCUGUUGCAAGAACCGUGGGGUUAACUGCGGAACUGAUCGAGAAUGGUUUGCGCAAGUGAGCCGUUUCAGGUCGGACCGUUGUGUUUCCUUUCACGUGGACGGCUUCAGCUGUGCAUUGAUGUUAGUGUGCUUUUUGUCAUGCUAAUAUCAUUGCCUCGACCGACGUUUAACAGCUGACCUAGAACUGGUACGGACUAGGGGAAUCCAACUGUUUAAUUAAAACAAAGCAUUGCGAUAGCUGUAGCCGGUUUUGACGCAAUGUGAUUUCUGCCCAGUGCUCUGAAUGUCAAAGUGAAGAAAUUCAAUAAAGCGCGGGUAAACGGCGGGAGUAACUAUGACUCUCUUAUGGUAGCCAAAUGCCUCGUCAUCUAAUUAGUGACGCGCAUGAAUGGAUUAACGAGAUUCCCACUGUCCCUGUCUGCAACCUAGCGAAACUACAGCCAAGGGAACGGGCUUGGAACGUAACAGCGGGGAAAGAAGACCCUGUUGAGCUUGACUCUAGUCAGUCUUUGUGAAGAAACAUGAGAGAUGUAGAAUACGUGGGAGCCUUCGGACGACAGUGAAAUACCACUGCUUUCAUCGUUUCUUUACUUACUCGGUUAUGCAGUUAGCUCUUGAAGCUACUUGUGAGGUAAAUUUCUUUCUUAAGUGAAAGAAAUCACUGAUUCGAGAACAGAGACUGAUUGGGAGUUUGACUGGGGCGGUACAUCUGUUAAAAUCUAACGCAGGUGUCCUAAGGCGAUCUCAGCGAGGACAGAAACCUCGCGUAGAGCGAAAGGGCAAAAGAUCGCUUGAUCUUGAUUUUCAGUACGAAUACAGACAAUGAAAGUUUGGCUUGUCGAUCCUUUUGAUUUUUACGAGUUUUAAGCAAGAGGUGUCAGAAAAGUUACCACAGGGAUAACUGGCUUGU
rnacentral:rRNA from 1 species